rnacentral:RNase_P_RNA from 1 species
ACAAUCGCGGACGUUUGUCCUAUUUUGGGAUGAACGGAUGAGGAAAGUCCGGGCUCCACAGGGCAGUGUGCUGGAUAACGUCCAGCGGGGGCGACCCUAGGGAAAGUGCCAUAGAAAAGAAGACCGCCCGGAAUUCCGGGUAAGGGUGGAACGGUGCGGUAAGAGCGCACCAGCAGUCGGGUGACCGGCUGGCUUGGCAAACCCCACACGGAGCAAGACCGAAUAGGGAAGGGAUGAUGCGGCCCGCGGAACCUUCCGGGUGUGUCGCUUGAGCCUGCAGGCAACUGCAUGGCCUAGAUAAAUGAUUGUCGCCGCGAAAGCGGAACAGAACUCGGCUUAUUGGCUGCU